rnacentral:tRNA from 1 species
GGGGACUUAGCUCAGUGGUAGAGCGCUUGCCUAGCAAGCACAAGGCCCUGGAUUUAGUCCCCA